rnacentral:misc_RNA from 1 species
AAAGGGUUUUGGGUUAUGUUUUUUUGCAGGUUUGAAGAAAUAGUAAUAGCAAAUCAGUAACCCGUGUUGGAUGGAAGUGAUCUGGCUGAUUAGGCAUGCCUGGUGUGGUGGGAGGGUGCGGAGCACUGAGAAGUUCGUUGACUUAGGGGAAACUGAAAUGCCUUAGAACUCUGUGAGUUAUGCCCAGUUUCUUUUUAAUGGAUGCCGGUUGAUUAAUUUGCUCUUGGCUUUGAGGUCCAGUAUAGAUUGAGUGGUUUGAUCUAUAAGAUAUUUGGAACAUGAAGACUUUUGUGUUGAUUUUUGAAUGCAUGCGGGCAUUUUGUCACCGUUAAAAUUUCUGUUUUCUUUUUCCUAGUCUCUGCUUUGGUUUCGGCUCUGGAUGUGGAGCGCUGCUGCUGUAGCUUUUGGUGGUUUAGUUUUUCUAGUGUGCUAAUUUCCAAGGCUUAUUUAUGGGUCAUUUGUGGGGUUGGGGAUGUUUAUUGGGGACUGGAUUAUGAGCCUUUAGCCUUUUAAAUUGCUCUGUUCUUGUUCUUGCCCGAUGAACAAUGAAUGCAAUUCUCGAUUUGCAGAUUAAAAAAAAAUAGCUUAAUAAAAUAAA